UACAGAGGGUGCAAGCGUUGUUCGGAAUCAUUGGGCGUAAAGCGCGUGUAGGUGGAUAGGUAAGUCGGGUGUGAAAGCCCCGAGCUCAACUCGGGAAUUGCGCCCGAAACUACUUGUCUUGAGUACGGGAGAGGGAAGCGGAAUUCUUGGUGUAGGGGUGAAAUCCGUAGAUAUCAGGAAGAACACCGAUGGCGAAGGCAGCUUCCUGGACCGAUACUGACACUCAGACGCGAAAGCGUGGGGAGCAAACAGG
rnacentral:rRNA from 1 species